UGCAGGUGCGCAUGCGUGAGGGGGCGGGCACAGGUGGCAAGGUGUGAGCAGCGGGCUCUGUGCUGCUGUCGUCUCCUUCCUUGCUCAGCCCCGUCUAGCUCGGGCAAGGGGCUGAGGUGCGAGUGAUCCCCAGCCUGCCUCAGUUCCCUUCUGUAGUGCCAGGGAGAGCUGGCUUUCCUUCCGGUCAGUGGGGCUGGGUGAGCUGCAGCAGUGCGGUGGCUAACCUAAGUCCACACUUGUUGUCUUGGCUCCGAGUAAAAGCUGGCCAGCCCCUGGGUGGGUCAUUCAUGGUUUAAGUGUGGAGGUUUAAGUUAGUACUAACCCACCUGCCUGCUGGCUUCUUGGCAGGUGGUGUGAAAGAUUAAGUCUGUAGCAUGAUGCCAAUGCUGCCCUAUUUUCUUGUUCAAGUCAAAGGCUUGUUGUGUUGCAGAACCUGGAAGGGGAAGGGACGGAGCGUGAACAUACAGGUGGAAGGAAAGCUGGCCGGAUCAAAGGGCUGGAAGCUAAGAGCUUUCCUUUAGCUCUGCUGCUGAUCUGCUGAUGGCACUAGACAAAUCCUUUCAGCUUUUUAUAAGUGGCUUCCUAUCCAUGAAGUGGGGAUACUGUUGAUGCACCCUGUGUUCUGGCAGAAUGGUGCAGGGUAAUGCACUUUGAAGAUUCCCUGGCUAAUAAUCAUUGUGGUUGCUCUCUGAAGUGCAGUGGCUUAGACUGGAGAGAGUACUCCAGGUUGGGCCUUGCCAACCCCAGAGAGAGUGGAAGAAUAAUUUCCCAUGACUUAAUGGAAGAUGGAGCAAGUUGCUGAGUUAUGACCCAGGGACUGUCCCUUCUGCCUCCCCUGAGACUUGCAUCUCAUGCAAAGAGCAACAUGGGUCCUGGAUUGUCCCCUCCCUGUUUCCUUCGGUUUGUUUCUUGCACCACCUUCUUUGGCAGCUAAGAGUCUGUAAACUGUGGUUUUGAGGUUCCUCAACUAACUCCUUCUGUAUGUAAAUUACUUGCAAAUAAAUUUGACCUGCUCACAGUUUGUAUAAGGUUAA